rnacentral:lncRNA from 1 species
ACCGAAGAGGGCUCGUGGUGAGGGCAAGGCUUGGCUUUAGCCGGGUGAGGACCGCCUGGGAGGAAGCUCUCUGGGUGGCCAGGCGAUGUGCUCGGACUUGGAAAUCGAGGCUGAGCCUUCGCCGCCUGCCCUGGUGAGCUGGGCUGUGUCGGUGCUCCCAGGAUGGCUCCCUGGGUGCACUGGGGGAUGCUGAGCUGUGCCUCAGUUUCCCCUCUCAGCAAGCAGGAGAAGGAGCCCGUGGGGCAGCUUGGAGGCACGUGGGGCUCUCCUGACAGCAUCUGGGGUGUGUGGCAUGCUGCGCUGCGGUGGCUGUUACAGACCGAAGCUGGCAGGGAGGGCUGAGCAUCCUGAGCCAGCUCGAGCCAGCAGCUCCGCACGGAGGAUUUGGCCUGGACCUUUAUUACCUGUCCCCCUUGUCACUUUUGGGUAAAAAAAACUCACUGACACGGGCAGGGGACGCGCCGUGGUGCUGCUAAUUGCGGAGGGCUCGCGCUUUCGGCACUGCUGGCCUCCCUGAGCACUCAGCUGGUGCAGGCAUCGCGUCUGAUCUGUCACUGCUUGCUCUGACACAGGCCUGGCCCACGCCUGGGCAGUGAUGAGCAUUAAUUGGGUCCCCCCUCCGCCUCGCACCGGCCGGGCAGCAUCACCAUGGCAAAGGCAGCGAGCGGCCGGGAGCUUUCGGAUGGACGCGGAGCCGUCAGGCACGGACCCAGAGGGCUGCAGGUGGCGGGAUGAGCACAGGGGUGCUGUCAGAAGCAUCGGGCUGCAGCCCUUCUCAGCCCGGGACGUCUGUGAGAGCUCAAGAGAAGAAGAGCAACUUCUGCCUGGAGAUGGCCUCCACAAAGACCUCCUGAAGGCCAGGUGAACAUCGACAAAACCCUGCUCGUGCCCCUUUCUGCAUCCUUUGACUGCGAAUUCCCGUAGUUGGCUCCUUUUGGAAGGGCUCUGAGAUGCACACAUCAAGAUUGCUCCAGAAGACCCAGGCACUUUGCUCAAGUCUGACGCACAAACCCAGCAAAACCUUGAAGGCUGAUUUAGCCUGGCACAGGGAGCGAAGACACGUCUCUGCUAAAAUGGAUGAGAAAAUUCCCUCAGCUGCUGCGGACUGGGAUCCUUCGCCAGGGGAAAUUAUUCUGAGCCUAUUUCCCUUCCCUUUGACAUUUUCUGUCUUAUCAAAAGCCAAAUGAGUAAGGAAGAAGGUUAAUGACUAAGCUGACAAAUAAACAUCCAGUUCAAAAAAGCAACAACAUUUCCAGGAAAAAUUAAGAAUCUCCCCUGAACACCAGCUAGGAAUUUAAACCCUGCCACAUUUAACCCAAGAGGGACUGUCCGUCUGGAGCUCAUUGUGCUACCAGGGCUGCAGCUGGCUGGGGCACGGGACAGGGGGUGGUUUUUCCGUGGAAUGAGGUAGUGGAAAAGUGCAGAAAAGGGACAAAAAUGAAUUUGGUUGUGAAGAAUGGAAACGAGCAUCACCACUGAGGUAUUCCAGGUACCCGUCCCCUGAAGUAGGGCUACAUAUCAGCUACGGGGUCUCAGUUUUGAGAUCUCAAAGUAAAAGAGUCUGAGGAUCUCAGGCUGUCCUCACCAAAAUGAGAAUGUGUAAGGAUUCACAGGGCAGGAGACUGGUUUUCAUCCUGUGGUGUAGGCGUCGGGGGGUGAUGGUGGUGGGGAGAUGCUUCCCUCGUGCUCAGAGAAAGAGUGUGCUUGGCCUCAAUUUCCCAGGGCUUCGCUCCGCCACGGUAAUGGUGCAUUAACAACAGCUUGAUUUUCAUUCAAUAAAUAAUAGGAAUUAUGUCAUGCUGGAGCCAAGACUUUAAACAAGAGGCUCCCGUAAACGUUUUCUUCAGGAAUCCGUGAUAAACCAAAGCCAGUGUCAGACAUACUCCCAGGGAGCAGGGCCGGCAGACUUGGACCCUGUCCAUCUGCUUCGCCAUUGAAACAAAACCACUUUAUAAUAACCACAGAGGGGAGGAAGCGACGCAGCUUGGCAUAUACACUUAUACUAUGUGUGGUGGAAAUGUUUAUUCUUUAUUUCAGGAAGAUUUAGUGGGUGUAGAGAUAAUAGAGCACAGCGCUUGCUUGUGUCUUGGGGAAGGAGGGGUGGUGGCGUUCGGGCUUUAAGGGAGUCCAGUGUCGGCUCCCGGGGGGAAUAUUUUCGGUAAUACCUAUUGCAGUCUCAGGCACUUGGAAGGCAGAAGGAGACAGUGGGAUGAAAUGUGCUUUUCGGGAGAGGUGUUGUAAAGGCCCCAGAAUUAGUUAUCUCUGACAGGAGGGAUUUUACAGACUCUGGUAGACGGCAGAGGCAGAACCCUGGCCGUUCCCAAUUGCUCCUCCAAGGCCCCGUGCUGGAUGCCUCCUAUGGAGCAGCUCGGGCUGCAGCAUCCCCCUCCCCGUGAGAUGCCACAGGGUGAGCCUCGGGCUCACCUACCCCACAGACAACUCCUCUCGCCCCCCAUGUGAGCCUCAUCUCCUACCCGUGACGGCUGCCCUAAGGGUCUUCUGGCUCCCGCUGCCUGGCAUCUACCCAAAACGCUGCAGGACCACGCUGUGACUUUGGAAACGGGGAAGGAUUUGCAAUAGAAGAGUCUGUGGGGUCAGCAGACCACGGCAUCCCACCCCGUGUGCCCCGCUGUCCCUGGGGUGCUGCUGUCUGUCCCCACAGCCUGGCUUGUCACAGCACUCCCCGCUUUGUCGUGCACGUGGAGCUCUUGCUGCGCUUCUCCCUGGGGCUGCUCAAGAUCAAACCCAAACCCUGUGCUGACCUCUGGGGAUGGGAGAGUCCCUAACAAAUUUUGAGACAGCAUCCGUCUAGACUUGGUGUGCGAGCACGGGAGUGAAGAGAUGACUAAGUGUCUGAAAGUUUGGGCCUUCGGAGAGAAGUCCCUUGGCUCCUGGUUCCUUGGAUCAAGUUCCAUUUCCUGUGGAGCCAUGGAGAUACUGGAUAUUUUCUCCCGUUUCUUGGCCUUUUUGAAAAAGUAAAAAAAAAUAUAUAGAUCUGUCUUGGGUGAGGAAACAAAUUUUUGAAAAAUUUUGGCAAGUCGAGGAUCAAAAAAAAACCCGUGUUGAGUGAAACAUUUCAUAGCGACAAAAAUCAAAACAUCUCACUUUGCCUUCAACCGCUUUAAAACAUUUUAAUGGGUUGAAAGGAAAUUUCAGAAUGGAAAGUCAUGUUUUGCUUAAAACACUGGAAAGUGUUUCAUUAACGAGGAAGAACAGAAGCAAAACAAUUGCCUUGUUUUUUUUUUUUUAUUUCCAAUAAAUUGGACGGCUCCGUCCCUGACCUGCACCGAGGUCAGGGGCUGUGUUCCCUUACGGUACGAGGGACCUGGAGCUUGGCAGCCCUCGCGUCUGAUGAAGUCAUCUCCCAAGCAGGAAGCUUUUCUGAUUGCCCUAACUCCCUUUUACAUCUUUUUAAUACAACUUUGCAGGCUUCAGCUGGCCCUGCUCACCCGCUGGUGCCUCCAGAAGUAUUUCUGGCCACGUGGCAGCCUUGGAUCUGGGAUAAGAGGUUGGACUCGAUGAUCUUGAGGUCUCUUCCAACCUAGAAAUUCUGUGAUUCUGUGAUAAUGCAGAGAGGGGCUGGCAAAGUCCUUCACCUCUUUGCGUGCUGUGACACCGUGACAAAUAGACCUGAAUUGCGGUCUCCGUGGCCUUGGGAUCUCUGCUGGCUUCCCUUGCCCUGAGGACGUAUGGUUUGGGCUGCAAAAUCAGGUGUGGGACCAUCUGGUUCCAUGUGGGGUCACCCCAGCUAGAGCAUCCCUGGGUUUUAGGUUGUGGCAGAGGAGCAGGAGGUGAGGAGAUGCUGUGGGUAUAUCCUCGGCCUUGCCCUGCUGCCCCAGCAAACCCCAGCUCUUUGUGUCCCUGAGGGUCCCUUGUGGCUGGGGACAAGCUGGUGGCUGUGCUUUUGGGGUGGCUGUGCUUCAGGGGUGGCUGUGCUUCAGGG